UAACAACCUAUAUUUGUUGGAGAGUUAGUAAAAAUUCUACACAUUCUGAUGUAAAUUCAGCUAUGAAUUGCGCACCCUCAGCAGGGAAGACGAACAGAACUAUCUGUGUUCCAAUCCUACAAUGGAGGGCCCCCCGAUAUCAGAAAUGGUACUGGAUUCGCCUAUAAUUACAGAUUGCAUAAUCGCUACCUAAUGGACACCAUAAAAUCUAUACAGACUUCAAGACCGUCACCAGAUGGAAGGUUUGAUUUAGAUAGACACUGCAUUACACCGGACAGAGCAUGCGCCACUCCAUUACCAUUGUACGGGGUAAUACUGUGUUCAUUGCCCAGCCAGGACAGGGUUUAGCUGGAGGAUUUUCGCAAGGCCUUGAUCUUUUGAAAUACAACAUGAUUCAUCCUAACUGUUCACCGUUUGCUAGUCCAAUGAUGUUAGUCAAAAAUAAAAAUGACCUAAUUACGAGGAUACGUGAACCGAAUUCCGAUACAUCCGGAUUUAAUUGUCACUUUGUCACUGCGGGAAGGCAAUACGAAUUUUUGGCCAUGCCUUUUGGUUUAAAGAACAAUCCAUCGGUCUUCCCGCGAGCUAAAAAUAAAGCAUUAGGCAAUGUUUUAUUCACAUAAGCCAACGUAUAAAUCGACGAUAUUUUGAUUAUGGCCUAAAAAUCAGAAGUGAAGUGAAGUCUGUAACGGACAAAUUCAGCUAAACUAACACAAAAUAAGUGAGCUACCAAACCUGCAAACACCUUAGUCAGUAAUGCAAUUAAGACAAUUUGUAGGUUUAGAACCAGUGUUAGCUAUAUUUAACCCUUAAAAUGAAAUAAAACUGCACUCAGAUCCAGCUUAAUCGGUUAUGGAGCAAUAUUUAUACAAAAGUUACGUCUUAGUUACCACAAUCACUAGCUAAGAAAAUACAAGCGCAAUACAUGCGUAACUGGGUGAACAACCCGAGUUCAAUUUACUACCAACUUAGGAAACGUCUUAACAAGAAUUUCCAUUACCACUAGCCAAAAAAGAUGCAGUUUCAGCUGGACGUGAACUUAUCUAGGGCAUUUGUCAAUUGGGAAAUUAAUGCAAUUGUAAUUACAAACGACAAAAAUUAAAGAGUGAAAACCAAACACCGCAAACCGGAAGAGCGAAAAGUGUCGCUACUCCUAUUAAAAGACUUUCACCUGAAAGAACGACCAGACUGUUCUCGCCGAGAACCCUUUAGUAGCCGUUCCAAGAAAACGUGAUAAAAGUAAAGAGGAUCCCCCAAAUAGACACACACUAGAGAGAAAUCGCCGAAGAGUGGGGCAAAAAGCACUCAGUGAAAUCUAUCGUCAAGAGAGCAUGCCGAGAAAUGUUGUUUCUGUAAAAAUAGUUUUAAGCGUCGUUAAAAAAGAAAAAAAAGAAUA